rnacentral:rRNA from 1 species
CAAGUCGAGCGAACGGACGAGAAGCUUGCUUCUCUGAUGUUAGCGGCGGACGGGUGAGUAACACGUGGAUAACCUACCUAUAAGACUGGGAUAACUUCGGGAAACCGGAGCUAAUACCGGAUAAUAUUGUGAACCGCAUGGUUCAAAAGUGAAAGACGGUCUUGCUGUCACUUAUAGAUGGAUCCGCGCUGCAUUAGCUAGUUGGUAAGGUAACGGCUUACCAAGGCAACGAUGCAUAGCCGACCUGAGAGGGUGAUCGUGCACACUGGAACUGAGACACGGUCCAGACUCCUACGGGAGGCAGCAGUAGGGAAUCUUCCGCAAUGGGCGAAAGCCUGACGGAGCAAUCGCCGCGUGAGUGAUGAAGGUCUUCGGAUCGUAAAACUCUGUUAUUAGGGAAGAACAUAUGUGUAAGUAACUGUGCACAUCUUGACGGUACCUAAUCAGAAAGCCACGGCUAACUACGUGCCAGCAGCCGCGGUAAUACGUAGGUGGCAAGCGUUAUCCGGAAUUAUUGGGCGUAAAGCGCGCGUAGGCGGUUUUUUAAGUCUGAUGUGAAAGCCCACGGCUCAACCGUGGAGGGUCAUUGGAAACUGGAAACCUUGAGUGCAGAAGAGGAAAGUGGAAUUCCAUGUGUAGCGGUGAAAUGCGCAGAGAUAUGGAGGAACACCAGUGGCGAAGGCGACUUUCUGGUCUGUAACUGACGCUGAUGUGCGAAAGCG